rnacentral:rRNA from 1 species
CUGCCUACUAGAGGGGAAUAACAGUGAGAAAUCAUUGCUAAUACCGCAUAUGCCAUGAACAUCACAUGAUGAAAAUGGGAAAAGAGUAAUCUGCUAGUAGAUGGGCUCGCGUCUGAUUAGAUAGUUGGCGGGGUAACGGCCUACCAAGUCGACGAUCAGUAGCCGGACUGAGAGGUUGAACGGCCACAUUGGGACUGAGAUACGGCCCAGACUCCUACGGGAGGCAGCAGUCGGGAAUAUUGCGCAAUGGAGGAAACUCUGACGCAGUGACGCCGCGUAUAGGAAGAAGGUUUUCGGAUUGUAAACUAUUGUCGUUAGGGAAGAUACAAGACAGUACCUAAGGAGGAAGCUCCGGCUAACUACGUGCCAGCAGCCGCGGUAAUACGUAGGGAGCAAGCGUUAUCCGGAUUUAUUGGGUGUAAAGGGUGCGUAGACGGGACAACAAGUUAGUUGUGAAAUCCCUCGGCUUAACUGAGGAACUGCAACUAAAACUAUUGUUCUUGAGUGUUGGAGAGGAAAGUGGAAUUCCUAGUGUAGCGGUGAA